AUGAACGCUGGCGGCGUGCCUAAUACAUGCAAGUCGAGCGAACGGACGAGAAGCUUGCUUCUCUGAUGUUAGCGGCGGACGGGUGAGUAACACGUGGAUAACCUACCUAUAAGACUGGGAUAACUUCGGGAAACCGUAGCUAAUUCCGGAUAAUAUUUUGAACCGCAUGGUUCAAAAGUGAAAGACGGUCUUGCUGUCACUUAUAGAUGGAUCCGCGCUGCAUUAGCUAGUUGGUAAGGUAACGGCUUACCAAGGCAACGAUGCAUAGCCGACCUGAGAGGGUGAUCGGCCACACUGGAACUGAGACACGGUCCAGACUCCUACGGGAGGCAGCAGUAGGGAAUCUUCCGCAAUGGGCGAAAGCCUGACGGAGCAACGCCGCGUGAGUGAUGAAGGUCUUCGGAUCGUAAAACUCUGUUAUUAGGGAAGAACAUAUGUGUAAGUAACUGUGCACAUCUUGACGGUACCUAAUCAGAAAGCCACGGCUAACUACGUG
rnacentral:rRNA from 1 species